UACGUAGGGUGCAAGCGUUAAUCGGAAUACUGGGCGUAAAGCGUGCGCAGGCGGUUUUGUAAGUCUGACGUGAAAUCCCCGGGCUCAACCUGGGAAUUGCGUUGGAGACUGCAAGGCUAGAAUCUGGCAGAGGGGGGUAGAAUUCCACGUGUAGCAGUGAAAUGCGUAGAGAUGUGGAGGAACACCGAUGGCGAAGGCAGCCCCCUGGGUCAAGA
rnacentral:rRNA from 1 species